rnacentral:rRNA from 1 species
GGUUAAGCGACUAAGCGUACACGGUGGAUGCCCUGGCAGUCAGAGGCGAUGAAGGACGUGCUAAUCUGCGAAAAGCGUCGGUAAGGUGAUAUGAACCGUUAUAACCGGCGAUGUCCGAAUGGGGAAACCCAGUGCAAUUCGUUGCACUAUCGUUAACUGAAUACAUAGGUUAACGAGGCGAACCGGGGGAACUGAAACAUCUAAGUACCCCGAGGAAAAGAAAUCAACCGAGAUUCCCCCAGUAGCGGCGAGCGAACGGGGAGCAGCCCAGAGUCUGAAUCAGCUUGUGUGUUAGUGGAACGGUCUGGAAAGUCCGACGGUACAGGGUGAUAGUCCCGUACACCAAAAUGCACAGGCUGUGAACUCGAAGAGUAGGGCGGGACACGUGGUAUCCUGUCUGAAUAUGGGGGGACCAUCCUCCAAGGCUAAAUACUCCUGACUGACC